UACGGAGGGUGCGAGCGUUGUUCGGAAUUACUGGGCGUAAAGCGCGUGUAGGCGGCCUUCUAAGUCUGGUGUGAAAGCCCGGGGCUCAACCCCGGAAGUGCAUUGGAUACUGGGAGGCUGGAGUACCGGAGAGGAGGGUGGAAUUCCUGGUGUAGCGGUGAAAUGCGUAGAUAUCUGGAGGAACACCGGUGGCGAAGGCGGCAUCCUGGACCGACACUGACGCUGAGGAGCGAAAGCCAGGGGAGCAAACGGG
rnacentral:rRNA from 1 species